rnacentral:lncRNA from 1 species
CCCGCGCCCAAAUAAUAGCGACCGAGCUCGGCGCCCGCGAGGGGCCGCAGGGCCGGGGGUUUCGAGGCGAGCCUGAGAGGGGGCCCUGGGUGUCUGGGAUUCCGAAUUAGCGGAGGCGGGUGGAAUCCUAGUCCUGGGGCAGGAGGGCCUGGGAUCCUGAAAGCGUUUCUGCCCGGCUUAGACACUAACCACUUCAAGAGAACGGGAGAGCACCGGAAAAAGGCUUUCCAGCCGCAGGCCUUCGCGGGGUCUUCUCCUUUUGGGGGGCGGAAGAGGGGUGGUUAUCGGGACCGUUCCGCCGCAUUCCUGCCCUCUCGGCGGCCGGUGCCAUCGCUUAGAUCCGCCCAGGGCGCAAUCCGAAAAUUAUGUGCCAAGAGCUAUAAAACCGUUCAUAGAGCCCCUUUGACCCAGUAAACCCAUUUAAGGAAGUACAUUUCCAAGGAAAUGAUCCAAAGGGCGAAGAAGGGGGAGAACUUGCAGAAAGAUGUUAACAGCAGGGCUAUUCACAAUGUUCGUGAUGACCAAAACCUGGGAAUGGGCCCAGUUGUCCAACAAUUGAGUAACCCAAACAGGCGCCUUCACAUUAACAGCAAGAAUCCUGGCAGGUGAUGUAAUGAGGACUCAUAUAUAUGCACAUGGAGUGAAUAAAUGAAUUAAGGAAUGGAUGGGUGAAAACAACGAACUGUGAAUGGUCCAGCCAUCACCAAUAAGACACGUAACAACUUUUCCCAUCUCGCUUCACGCUGCCAGGCAACGCAGGCUGGCAUUGUUGUAGUGAGUUGCUUCUGUUCCACACAAGCCAGGAUUUAAUAACAGAAUAAAGGAAUGAAC